rnacentral:rRNA from 1 species
CGUUGACCUCGGAUCAGGUAGGAAUACCCGCUGAACUUAAGCAUAUCAAUAAGCGGAGGAA